GGCCAUGUGUUUACUGCUGCCACCCAACCGUGCUGAGCUUUCAGUGACCCUCGCUGUUUUCCCUCAGCGUUCUGGUCCCCAAACCCGGCUGUAAACAGGGGCCGGGGCUGGAACCCGAGUGUGCCUCCUCGCCAGUAACCAGAUACUUCCUCCACAUGUGCCUGGAGUGCUCUGGAGUGAGCCUGGCGUCUCCCAAAUCCCAACAAAAUCCCUAAAUCUGAUGUCUGCGCUGGGCUUCUGCGCGGCAGGAUGCCAGACCUUCCCCCUGCAGCCCAUCCCCAGGGAUCUGGGGGGCUGGAGGCGCAAAGUUGCCGGGCACAGGGGUCUGACACAGACUCCUGACACUCGCGGGCAGGGAACGAUGGAUUUGCUCUGCCAAGAAGUUUGGAAUCGCCGUGGGGACGUGGGGCUGGUGCCACCUCGUGGUUCCAGCAGCAGCUGAGCCGGGCUGGACGCGCGGUGCCGGACAGCGGUGGCACUGCUGGCACGGAGCUGGGGGUCCCGCAUGUGCCCAUCCGGAUGAGACCCCCGGCCAUGGGAGCGACAGCACCGCAGCAGCCUCAUGCCUGGAGCGCUGGGAAUGGCCAGAAAUGCAUCCCCAGCCGUGCCUGGCCGAGGUCUGUCCGAAGGAGCCGCCCCGGUUCUGUCUCCGCUCGGCACCGCCGCGGUUGCACCGAGCGCGAUCUGAGCGAAAUCCUUUGCGAAACGCGAGUGGAACCACGAGCAGCAGCGAGACAGAACCAAGUAAACACCGCCGCGCCAGGCAGAGAAAACCACA